rnacentral:rRNA from 1 species
UACGUAGGGGGCUAGCGUUGUCCGGAAUCAUUGGGCGUAAAGCGCGUGUAGGCGGUCCGGUAAGUCCGCUGUGAAAGUCGGGGGCUCAACCCUCGGAUGCCGGUGGAUACUGUCGGGCUUGAGUACGGAAGAGGCGAGUGGAAUUCCUGGUGUAGCGGUGAAAUGCGCAGAUAUCAGGAGGAACACCAAUUGCGAAGGCAGCUCGCUGGGACGUUACUGACGCUGAGGCACGAAAGCGUGGGUAGCAAACAGG